rnacentral:lncRNA from 1 species
CCUUUUGACCCCUGUGUUUAGGAUGACUCAGGGUUAAACUGUCAACCCUGAUGAUAUCAUCCGAAUCAUGCUCAACUCAAUUAGUCCUGUGACUUCUCACUAGGACUACCCUGGCCAAGGUUUUGCUAAAUUGAAACACGACUGUACACAGCUCCUAAACUGGAGUGGUCAAUCCCAUCUUGACACACGCACCGACAAGUCAAGUACUUGACUACACCCAGCAGCCUUCCAUCACUGAAUUAAAAAUUCAGGUAGUCCAGUGCCUAAGUGCAGUGAGUUGCUUGCAAGUCACCAUGGCGGUCUCAGGUCAGAGGGACAUUUAUAUCCAUAUCCCAUCGGAGCAAAUCUUGACAGCAGAAAUAGCUCCGGAGUCGGUCACGUUCAGUGCAGAUGUACCAUUACAUCUCAUCUGUAUGCCAUACCAGUGUCUCCACACUCUUUGGUUAUGAGGACAACCAACCCAUAUG